rnacentral:misc_RNA from 1 species
CCGUAUGACGUCAGCACGGAUACGCGCAGGGAGCGGCGCUCAACGCGGUGAAAGUCUGAACUCCUGAAAAACUGAUUCCUGCUGGCUCGCGCAGGCCCGCAGGCUCCAAGCUUCCCACUCCGCCGACCUCGUGCCACGGCCGGUCACCCCGAAGGAGCGUCGUCGUCGCCGACGAGGGUCACCGGUAUCGGACGCUGCGGGGCCACGUAAGGCUAUGCUCACGGCCAACGUGCUGUUGACCGUGCUGCGCGGCCGCGAGACGCGUCGGACCCCCCAUAGCGCAACCGAUACUCGGAACUCCCAGACGACGCCGAUCGAGGGCACGAGGGGCAGGGACUCGAGUGGCGCAACGUCGAGGUAGGGAUCGGGUGCCUCGACCUCGAUCCCGUACAGCCAUCGACGACCAGCGUAGCGAUCGUGAACCUGCGCCGGUCGUCCAGGAUGCCGCUGCCCACGCCCGGCAGGACGGCGAGUCCCGUGCGUUCACUGGGGAGCCGGCCAUGCGCGACCUGCACUGGUACCCCGGCGUGUU